rnacentral:tRNA from 1 species
GCGGUUGUGGCGGAAAGGUAGACGCGCCACGUUAAGGUCGUGGUGGCAAGGUCCAUGGGAGUUCAACUCUCCCCAACCGU